rnacentral:piRNA from 1 species
ACCCAUGUUCUCAACUGGAAGUUGGUCGCC